GGGACGAACGCUGGCGGCGUGCUUAACACAUGCAAGUCGAGCGGAAAGGCCCUUCGGGGUACUCGAGCGGCGAACGGGUGAGUAACACGUGAGUAACCUGCCCCUAGCUCUGGGAUAGCUCCGGGAAACCGGGAUUAAUACCAGAUACGACCACUUUAGACAUCUGUCGUGGUGGAAAGGAUUCCGGCUAGGGAUGGGCUCGCGGCCUAUCAGCUUGUUGGUGGGGUAACGGCCUACCAAGGCGACGACGGGUAGCUGGUCUGAGAGGAUGGCCAGCCACAUUGGGACUGAGAAACGGCCCAGACUCCUACGGGAGGCAGCAGUGGGAAUCUUGCGCAAUGGACGAAAGUCUGACGCAGCGACGCCGCGUGGGGAUGAAGGCUUCGGUUGUAACCCUGUUGCCGGGACGAACGCUUCUUUCGAGGAGCUUGACGGUACCGGGUGAGGAAGCACCGGCUAACUCUGUGCCAGCAGCCGC
rnacentral:rRNA from 1 species